UCAAUGUUUUGUAAACAGGCGGAGUCAGGAAAUGUGUCUCUAAGAGAGCCAUUUGGAUUUCACCCGCACACUUACGUAAGAGUGCGGGUGAUUUGAAUGCUCCAGCCCUCACGCUGGAUAUCUCCUCCCAUAUUACUCCGGCUACCUGAAGGAGGAUCCGCCAUUUUCUCGCUUCACUUGUAUGCCACAGUCUGACCGCAACCAUGUGCAACCUGAAAGCCAAGCACUCCUGCUCUGUCGUCGGAUGCACGGACACUCAUGUUUCCCUACAUUGCCUUCCUACCAAAGAGGAUAUCAGAGCGAAGUGGCUAAAUUUUAUUUUUCAGGGAAACGUCCCAGCUUCACUGAGCAAAAGCGUUGUUGUCUGUGCCAAUCACUUCACACCGGACUGUUUCAGCAACCAGGGUCAGUAUCAGGCUGGACUGGCAACGAGAUUGUUCCUCAAAGAUGGAUCAAUACCCACUGUCCGUGUCAACGCCACAGAAGAAGAAACUAAGUAUUUUUAAAAACAGUGUUGUUUGUGUUACUUUGGCUGUUUAGCACAUGAGCUAACGCUAACGGGUGAUGUAAAUAUGAGGCUGAGCUAACAUUACAACAGUGGGCUUACUGGUCUUAGGAUUCACGGUAAUGUUAAUGUUGCCUAACCUUAAUUUGUCAUAUCAGCACUCAUGACAGUGAACUGAGAAAUUGAAUUGGGAUAUUGAGAUUUGAUCGCUUCUAAACGGCCGGUGAUCCACUAAGAUGUUGUCCGCGGACGACUUCUCAGUUGCUACAGCUACUGUUCCGUCAUGAACACGCAUGGGAAACCGUCUCCUCCACAUGCUCACAGCCGAUCAGACGGUGUGAAAUUGUCCCAGUUGUCCGCGGACGACGAGCUAGCUAGCGCUACUCGGCCGUGAACAGCGCUAGCUAGCCAUCGUCAUGUUCACGGCCGAACAGCGCUAGCUAGCUCAUCGUCCGCGGACAACUUCUCAGUUACUACAGCUACCGUUUCGACAUGAACACGCAUGGGAAACCGUCUCCUCCACAUGCUCACAGCUGAUCAGACGGUGUGAAAUUGUCUCAGUUGUUCGCGGACGGAGAGCUAAUGUUCCGCUGUGAACACGCAGAGAGGACGGUAUGAAAUGCUCUGUUAUUCACGGCCAGUGAGCUACCUUACGUCAAUUAGCAUGUUAUGCUAAAGGCUAAAGGACAGUGUGUUAGAUGCCCAGGAGCACCUUGGCAGACGAACGACUUAUUUUGUGUUGAUAUACACGUAUAUACUACGUGUGUAGUGUUAGCUGCUGGUACGAGAGACCCGAUCUGACAGUACCAAAACUUUAUCUGCAGUCAAGCAAUCAUUACUUUGCUUUGGAGCCUGAGACAGGGGUUACCUGUCUGCUGUGCUACGAUUAACAUUAGUUAUAUGAAGGCAUGGACACAAUAUGUAUUGCUCACUUACUAAAUCUAAUGUGAAAUGAGGAAUUUGCAUGGGUUUGCUCGGAUUAUGAUUUGCCAGAAUUUGCCUUAUCAAAUGGAUUGUUUUAAUCAUCAUUCUGUCAUCACAUCUGUACAGCAGUCUGUAGUGCAUCAUGUUGCCUGCCAGACAGACCAACCAGUGAAAUGCACUGUUGGCACACAGCUUUCCAUGAGAACUCUCUGGUCUCACUUCAGAAGCACAGGCAACAUCUACAGGCGGAGAGCUGCUGUACAGUCAACUUCCCCAAAUCUAAGCAUGGAGAAUGAACUGCAAAGCCUGUGAAUGCAGAGCCAACAUUCCACUACGUUGAUGCACUGUUGGACCUGAUCUUCAAGAAGGUUUUCCAGGACCCUGGCCCAUAUGUGAACGAGGUGCUGAAACUUACAAUCCCUGAAGACCUCUCGGCUCAGUAUGAAAGACCCAACAAGCUGGACGUUAUAGCCAGUUACGUGCCAAGGUUCAAUCAAGGACAGGACUGAAUCUAACAUACUGUCCUUCAGCGUCGGGGAACUCUGCAUGAAUCCUCAGCACCACACAAGCAGGCAGCACAGCUCUCACUCUUCGCCCCAGAAAGCACCAGCACCAGCUUACAAAGCCUCUGUAGGCUAGGUAUCUAUAUUUGCUGGACACAAUUCAGUAGAAAAUCAGCACUGAAUGUUCACAUCCAUGGCAAGUUUAACUGUUCCACUUUAGAUAUUUAUUUUGUAUGUCUACAAUUGUUUCUUGUAAUAAAACAUCUCUCCCAAC